rfam:Myotis lucifugus cont2.9514, whole genome shotgun sequence.
GCUGUUUUGGCUCAGUGGGUAGAGUAUCAGCCUGCGGACUGAAGGAUCCCAGUUCAAUUCUGGUCAAGGGCA